rnacentral:rRNA from 1 species
CGUAGGGUGCAAGCGUUAAUCGGAAUUACUGGGCGUAAAGCGUGCGCAGCGGUUAUGCAAGACAGAUGUGAAAUCCCCGGGCUCAACCUGGGAACUGCAUUUGUGACUGCAUAGCUGGAGUGCGGCAGAGGGGGAUGGAAUUCCGCGUGUAGCAGUGAAAUGCGUAGAUAUGCGGAGGAACACCGAUGGCGAAGGCAAUCCCCUGGGCCUGCACUGACGCUCAUGCACGAAAGCGUGGGGAGCAAACAGGAUUAGAUACCCUGGUAGUCCACGCCCUAAACGAUGUCAACUGGUUGUUGGGAAGGUUCCUUCUCAGUAACGUAGCUAACGCGUGAAGUUGACCGCCUGGGGAGUACGGCCGCAAGGUUGA